rnacentral:rRNA from 1 species
AUUGAACGCUGGCGGCAGGCUUAACACAUGCAAGUCGAGCGGGGGAAGGUAGCUUGCUACUGGACCUAGCGGCGGACGGGUGAGUAAUGCUUAGGAAUCUGCCUCUUAGUGGGGGACAACAUCUCGCAAGGGAUGCUAAUACCUCAUACGUCCUACGGGAGAAAGCAGGGGAUCUUCGGACCUUGCGCUAAUAGAUGAGCCUAAGGCGGAUUAGCUAGUUGGGGGGGUAAAGGCCUACCAAGGCGACGAUCUGUAGGGGGUCUGAGGGGAUGAUCCGCCACACGGGGACUGAGACACGGCCCAGACUCCUACGGGAGGCAGCAGUGGGGAAUAUUGGACAAUGGGGGGAACCCUGAUCCAGCCAUGCCGCGUGUGUGAAGAAGGCCUUAUGGUUGUAAAGCACUUUAAGCGAGGAGGAGGCUACUUUAGUUAAUACCUAGAGAUAGUGGACGUUACUCGCAGAAUAAGCACCGGCUAACUCUGUGCCAGCCGCCGCGGUAA